rnacentral:rRNA from 1 species
AGGAAUCUGCCUAUUAGUGGGGGACAACAUCUCGAAAGGGAUGCGAAUACCGCAUACGUCCUACGGGAGAAAGCAGGGGACCUUCGGGCCUUGCGCUAAUAGAUGAGCCUAAGUCGGAUUAGCUAGUUGGUGGGGUAAAGGCCUACCAAGGCGACGAUCUGUAGCGGGUCUGAGAGGAUGAUCCGCCACACUGGGACUGAGACACGGCCCAGACUCCUACGGGAGGCAGCAGUGGGGAAUAUUGGACAAUGGGGGGAACCCUGAUCCAGCCAUGCCGCGUGUGUGAAGAAGGCCUUUUGGUUGUAAAGCACUUUAAGCGAGGAGGAGGCUACCGAGAUUAAUACUCUUGGAUAGUGGACGUUACUCGCAGAAUAAGCACCGGCUAACUCUGUGCCAGCAGCCGCGGUAAUACAGAGGGUGCAAGCGUUAAUCGGAUUUACUGGGCGUAAAGCGCGCGUAGGUGGCCAAUUAAGUCAAAUGUGAAAUCCCCGAGCUUAACUUGGGAAUUGCAUUCGAUACUGGUUGGCUAGAGUAUGGGAGAGGAUGGUAGAAUUCCAGGU